AUGGAAGUUCCCAUGUUUGAAGAAUCUGAAGUAUGUCUAAAUUUGGAAUAUAGGUGUAUCUUGUAUUUAUGCUGGCCACAGGUCAAACAUUGUAUACUGUCAAGCAGUGAAGCAGGUAACAGUUUCCAUCAACUUGAUGUCCAAUUGAGAUCUCACCACAUUGACAAAUGUCAUCAAGUGGGGCCCACAGAAAGUUACAUGGUGUCAGAUACUCAACUGGGGCACUGUUGGCAGAUAAAUACUGUCCAACUGCUUAACCUGCAUCAAAGACAGGUGCAGUCACAUAUUAGAGCGCGGCACACACCCCUCUCUCUAAGGUGCUUUGCAUUUGACUCACAUGUACUCCAUCCGUUCCGAUUUACUCGUCGUGGUUUUAGUUCAAAGGAACGGAGGGAGUAUGAGGUAUCUGUAUUUGAGAUGGUUAUGUAUAGUUUAGCCUUCAGUAGGGUAAUCAUAAAACUUUACUUGGAAACUAGAUAG
rnacentral:rRNA from 1 species